AGAGAUUAACCUCAGGUGUUGUUCCUCGGGAGCCAUUCACCAUGUUCUUUUGUGACAGAGCCAUCUCUGACUGACCUGGAGUUCAUUGAGAGGUGUGCGCUGGCUGAACAGUGAGUCACAGGGAUCUCUCCGUUUCCACAUUCUCAGCUCUGAGAUUGCAAAUUACUGCAACAUUCGUAGCUCUUUAAGUAACUGCUGAGGAUCAAUGUGUGCCCUCAUGCUUGUGAGACAAUAGGAGUUUCCAUUCUCUUAAGGUCCUGUUCUAAAAUGGAUCAAUAGACACGGACUGAAAGACCAGACCAAAGCAAGGCCAAGACUCAGCAAGAAAAUGCCAAUUUCUUCAGCAUUGUGCCUCAGCGUCUGUGCUUCUUUUUGGCCUUACCUGUGCUACAACAUCCUUGGGCAGCCCUGCCUCUCCAGAUAUACUGUUUGAAAAAUGCACAGACCCCCCCACACACACUUGGGACAGCUCCACAUUGCGUUUUCAGCUUUCCUUGGCAGACUUCCCAUGGUCAUGGCGUACGCAGUGUCAUGGAGGCUUCAUCAAAACUUAACCUUUUACUUCACAGACUUAUUCAGUGAACUCCCAGGGCCUCCAGGCAAGAAACACAGCACUGCCAUUUAGUACCUGGCAUCAGUGCUUUUCUGGACCUUUGAUGAAAGCCCAUAUAACUUUGUAGCCCUUGCAUUUUGCAUGCCUGCAAAGCCAAUCUCUGUUGUCAGUUCUGCUCUGGCCCCUUUCACCACAACUGUAAAAUCCUCUGUAUACCUUGGUGGUAUGCCAGUGAAAACAGAUACCUGCAUAGCC